CCGAUGGUAUCUUAAGCACGCAUGAGAUUAAGAUUAAAGAUUUAUCGGUAAGCGAUGGGGAUGCGUUCCAUUAGGCAGUUGGCGGGGUAACGGCCCACCAAACCUACGAUGGAUAGGGGUUCUGAGAGGAAGGUCCCCCACAUUGGAACUGAGACACGGUCCAAACUCCUACGGGAGGCAGCAGUGAGGAAUAUUGGUCAAUGGGCGAGAGCCUGAACCAGCCAAGUAGCGUGAAGGAUGACGGCCCUACGGGUUGUAAACUUCUUUUGUGCGGGAAUAAAGGAACCUACGUGUAGGUUUUUGCAUGUACCGUAACGAAUAAGCAUCGGCUAACUCCGUGCCAGCAGCCGCGGUAAUACGGAGGAUGCGAGCGUUAUCCGGAUUUAUUGGGUUUAAAGGGAGCGUAGACGGGUUUUUAAGUCAGCUGUGAAAGUUUGGGGCUCAACCUUAAAAUUGCAGUUGAAACUGGAGACCUUGAGUACGGUUGAGGCAGGCGGAAUUCGUGGUGUAGCGGUGAAAUGCUUAGAUAUCACGAAGAACUCCGAUUG
rnacentral:rRNA from 1 species